rnacentral:lncRNA from 1 species
GGGUUGCUGGGGUUGUGUAACUGUGCCUAGAGGGCGGGGUUCCUGUACAUUCCUACUUCACCAGAUAACCUGCCCCCAACACCACUUCAGCUUCUGCCAGACAGAUGGAACUCUCCAGCAUGAAAAUCUGCGCAGCCAUUCCAACAAGCAGGGCUCUGCCUGAGGUUGUCCGAAGGAUGCCGAGGAAAAGGAUAUCAGGACUGGAAUGGCUCUUACAGCAAGAUCCAGGUUUUUCAUUAGUCAAUACAGUGAAGGCUGGCAUGAUCAUCAGCUUCCCAUCCAAUAAUAUCUACUCAUCAGUGUGCUGUUGUCAAUCAGAGAUUUUCAAGUAUGAGUUCUCCAACUCAAAGAAAAGUAGCUGGAUCCAGGAAGAAAGGCAUUUGGGGAGGAACAACGUUCUUUACAGUGCUCAUGAUGUGUCUCCAGAGAAAGUUACUUCAGCACUAAAAAAACAAACAAACAAACAACAACAAUAAACAACUUUCCUCUACAGUAUCUUCCAGGGUCUAAACUAUUAGACAGGUUCCUAAGUUUAUCCAGAUCUCUCCUAUGUCUGAAUUCUUGGUCAUCUUCCUUGCCUCUGGCUCUACAGGUAAAGAAGAAAUAAUAAUAAAGGAACAAAAAUUAUAUGUUUCUGUCGGGCUGACUCAUUCCACUUUUGAAGCACCCAGUGGAUUAGUUAGUCUUAUUAUUGCAUUUACUGUCACCUACACACUUGUUUGUGGGAAGGCACUCCUCUUGGCAUUUGCUUAGUUGGAAAAGGGAACACUAAGACUAUAGCCACUGGAUAAUGCUCUUGAAGUUCACGGCACUGUGGCAGCAUAAAGCUUGAACAGACCUAGUUUUUUUAUUGAUGGAAUGCAACUGAUAUAGCACCACUUUUCUCUGACACUGUAUAUUAGCUUUUAGUUAUGAACUACUUCCUUCCAGUGCAGCAGUUGUUGCCUACCAUUGGUACCAGUUUAGCACCAUUAUAAAGAAACAUCGUACCUCUUAUAGGAAGAAUUUGGAGAGUUUUGGUAUGGUAAUCAAGAUGUGUAUUGUAAUAAUUAACUGAAUUCUGUGAACACACUGUUUCUACCUUAAGUGAAAGAAAAAGAGAACAGCUGCAAUUAUUUAUCUUCACUCAUUUCUCAUAGAUAGCCAGGAUUUUUCAGUGUACAUUCUCUUUUCCUGAAAUUAUUUUCAGUUCUUGUUGGUUCUUAUAGAUUAUAAUGAGAAAGGCACGAGCAAGAAAUUUGAAAUAAAGAACACAAAAUG